GGGGAUUUAGCUCAGCGGCAUAGCACCUGCCUUGCAAGCAGGCGGUCGUGAGUUUGAUCCCUG
rfam:Cavia porcellus supercont2_15 genomic scaffold, whole genome shotgun sequence.